CCCUGGCUGUGCUGGCCCUGACUGAGAGGAGUGGGCUUCCACUUCUGUCACCUGGCAAAGGAACCUCCACAGCCCAAGAAUGUUAACACUUACCAGGUGCCGGGCAUGGGCCUUACGUGUUUUAUGUAAUUCAAUCCUCCCAACAAACAUAUGAGAUGGAUAAAUGGAUGGGUGCAUGAAUGGACAGACUGGUGCCUCAAUUUUCCUGCCUCAACCUGUUAAUCCACUGCUACAUCAGAGCCAGCCCUGCACCCCAGCCUUCAACGUGAGCAGCUCCUCCUCUCUGUAGCUCCAGCCCCAGCCUGGACCUAUCUUUCAGAGCCACAAUACUAAGAGACAGUCCCUGAGUCUUGGAUGACCACGUGAGGAGAGGAUGCUGUUCUGAGAGCUGCUGAUAAUACGUGGAUCCAAACCCACAGGCUUGAGCUGCUUAAUUGAAAUUCACAUCAAAAUGGAAUUCUGGUUUAGCUCAACUUGACUACUAUCGAUGAUGAAAAUAAAUCCCUGGGUCACACGAGGAUAGUGAUUGAGUAGAGCUUGUU